UGGCACAGCCUGAGAGAAGCUAUGACUCU
rnacentral:piRNA from 1 species